AUUGAACGCUGGCGGCAGGCCUAACACAUGCAAGUCGAACGGUAACAGGAAGAAGCUUGCUUCUUUGCUGACGAGUGGCGGACGGGUGAGUAAUGUCUGGGAAACUGCCUGAUGGAGGGGGAUAACUACUGGAAACGGUAGCUAAUACCGCAUAACGUCGCAAGACCAAAGAGGGGGACCUUCGGGCCUCUUGCCAUCGGAUGUGCCCAGAUGGGAUUGGCUAGUAGGUGGGGUAGCGGCUCACCUAGGCGACGCGCCCUAACUGGUCUGAGAGAGUGACCAGCCACACUGGAACUGAGACACGUUCCAGACUCCUGCGGGAGGAAGCAGUGGGGAAUAUUGCACAAUGGGCGCAAGCCUGAUGCAGCCAUGCCGCGUGUAUGAAGAAGGCGUUCGGGUUGUAAAGUACUUUCAGCGGUGAGGAAGGGAGUAAAGUUAAUACCUUUGCUCAUUGACGUUACCCGCAGAAGAAGCACCGGCUAACUCCGUG
rnacentral:rRNA from 1 species